CCUACGGGUGGCAGCAGUGGGGGAUAUUGCACAAUGGGGGGAACCCUGAUGCAGCGACGCCGCGUGGGUGAAGGAGUAUUUCGGUAUGUAAAGCCCUAUCGGCAGGGAAGAAUUUAGACGGUACCUGACUACGAAGCCCCGGCUAACUACGUGCCAACAGCCGCGGUAAUACGUAGGGGGCAAGCGUUAUCCGGAUUCACUGGGUGUAAAGGGAGCGUAGAUGGGCAGGUAAGCCUGAAGUGAAAGCCCGGGGCUCAACCCCGGGAUUGCUAUUGGAACUGUCCGGCUGGAGUGCGGGUGGGGCAGGCGGAAUUCCUGGUGUAGCGGUGAAAUGCGUAGAUAUCAGGAGGAACACCGGCGGCGAAGGCGGCUUGCUGGACCGCGACUGACGUUGAGGCUCGAAAGCGUGGGGAGCGAACAGGAUUAGAUACCCUUGUAGUC
rnacentral:rRNA from 1 species